rnacentral:lncRNA from 1 species
GAGGAGUCCACCAACUGAUGGUCUUCAAUUUGAAGGUUCUGGAAGCAGAGCGAGAAGAGCAUAACCACCGGAGCAGCAAACUGGGCAAAAUUUGGUGAACAAUUUUGCUUUUAGAGUGGAGUUUCCAUACUUUGAGGAAGGGGAUCCUCGAUCAUGGCUGCACAAAUAUGAAAGGUAUUUUCAUUACAAUCAUAUUACAGACCCACAACAGAAAUUAGAAUAUCUUCAUCUUAAUGGGAGGGCUAAGUAUUGGUACUUUUCUUAUCAAUUGAGUAGAGGGAUUGUGAGAUGGUCAAAUUUUAUUGAAGAAAUCUGUAAGAGAUUUAAUGAAUCUGAUAAUAGUAACUUGAAGUUGUUGGGGGAAUUUAAAAAGGUAGAAUAAAAGGGGACUGUCAAUGAAUUCCUAGAGAGGUUUGAAGAUUUGAAGGCCUGGUUAUUGAUAAAAUACCCAACUAUACCUGAAGAAUUCUUCCUAGGGCUCUUCAUUGAAGGUUUGAAAGAAGAUAUUAGACAUAUUGCGAAGAUUCUUGACCCAUAUUCCUUAAGUCAUGCUGUGGAAAAGGCUAGGCACAAGGAGAACUUGAUUGAUACCAUGGCCAAAAAGAACAAAUUCAAUGGUGUGAGGAGUGUAGGGCAGUAUCAAGGUUCUAAUCUAGCAGCAGGGAACAAAACUGUGGGAAACUCACAAAAAGAAGGUACUUCUAAUACAACUCUAUCAGGAACUAAGUUGUUUGAAGCUAGGAAAGCUAGGGGUGAAUGCUACAAAUAUGGAGAAAAGUAUUUCUCAGGCCAUGUGUGCAAGAAUAGACAGCUGAAUACAUUAUCUGGAAGUACUGAACAGGAGGAAGAAAUAACAGAGCUAAUUACAGAAGGUAAGGCUAUGCCUAAUGGGAUGAUGGAAGAGAUAUUAGAUGAGGCCAUCAGUCUCAAUGGACUUUCAGGCACCAUAACUUCUACUAUCAUUAAGCUUAGAGGGUUGUAUGGGAAGAAAAUGUUGACUAUAUUAGCAGACAGUAGAAACACCAAUAGUUUCAUAGCUAGUGAAACUGCCAAACACCUAGGGUGCAUAGUUGAAGAUGAUGCACCUAUGGGAGCAGUUGUGGCUAAUGGGGGCUACCUGAUGAGUUACCAAUCUUGUCCUCAAUUCAGUUGAAAGACUCAAGGGAUAAAUUUUGAACACAAGCUAAGAUUACUGGAUAUUGGGGGAUGUGAUGUGGUCUUGGGUGUGGAUUGGAUGAGGAAACAUAACGUCAUUCUGUUUGAAUUCAUUGAAUACAGGUUACAAGUGAGUGUGAAAGGGAAAAGGGUGGACCUUAAGGGAUAUUCUGAAGAAGGGAAGCUCAAUAGCAUGACAGCUGAUGGAGUAAAACAACUUCUCAAAAAAGGGAAGGUGCUGUGGGCUCAUUUAUUUACAAUUACUGCUAAGGAUGCUGAAAUACAUGGGGACAUACCUCAAAGGAUCAGUGGAGUGCUAGAGGAAUUUCUAGAUGUGUUUGAAGAACCAAAGACUUUGCUACCACAGAGGAGCCAUGAUCAUUCCAUUUCUCUCAAACUUAAUGUAACAACAGUGAGUAUCAGACCUUACAGGUAUAAUCACUUCCAGAAAAAUAAAAUAGAAAAGCAAGUCAAUGAAAUGUUAAAUAGUGUAAUUAUGCAGCCUAGUCAUUCUCCUUGUUCCUCACCUGUACUGCUAGUGAAGAAGAAGGAUGAAAGUUGGAGGUUCUGCAUUAAUUAUAGAGAGUUAAACAAGAUGACCAUAAAGGAUAAAUUUCCUAUUCCUUUAGUAGAUGAUUUGAUGGAUGAACUUAAAGGGUCUUGCAUAUAUUCCAAGAUUGAUCUAAGGGCUGGGUAUCAUCAAAUUAGGAUGGAGAGAUCUGACAUUUAUAAAACUACAUUUAGGACACAUCUGGGACACUAUGAGUUUAAAGUCAUUCCUUUUGGCUUGACAAAUGCCCCUGCAAACUUUCAGAAUCUGAUGAACCAUGUUUUCAGACCUAUUCUAAGAAAGUUUGUUAUAGUUUUAUUUGAUGACAUCUUAGUUUACAGUCCAACAGUGGACAGCCAUGUAGAUCAUCUCAAACAAGUCUUAUAAGUUUUAUAGAAGGAAAAACUCUAUGCUAAACUGUCCAAGUAUGCCUUUGGGCAAGAUAAGGUGGAGUAUUUGGGCCAUAUUAUCUCUCGUCAAUGAGUAGCUAUUGAUCCUGCCAAGAUAGACUCUAUAAUGUAUUGGCCUACACCUAAGUCAAUCAAGGCACUCAGGGGAUUUUUAGGUCUUACAGGUUACUACAGAAGAUUUGUGAAGUCCUAUGGCAUUAUUAGUAGGCCAUUAACCAACCUACUUAAGAAGAAUUCAUUCCAAUGGAAUGAUGAGGCAGAAGAGGCUUUUUCAGAAUCUGAAAUAUCCACAGCACAUGUACUAGCAUUGCCAGACUUCACCAAAACCUUUAUUGUAGAGACAGAUGCAUGCUCUACAGGAAUGGGAGCUGUACUAAUACAAGAGGGCAGAUCUAUAGCCUAUCUAAGUAAGGCUUUGACUACUAAGAAUAGGGGACUAUCCACCUAUGAAAAGGAGUACAUGGCAGUCUUAACAGCAGUGGAUAAAUGGAGACAUUACUUACAAUGUGGUCAUUUCAUUGUGAGAACAGAUCACUAGAGCCUUAAGUACUUAUUAGAGCAGAAAGUCACCACAGUGUUACAUCAAAAGGGCCUCACUAAACUUUUGGGGCUUGACUAUGAAAUUCAGUACAAGAAAGAUUCUGAAAACAGGGCAGUUGAUGCUCUAUCCAGGAGACAAGAAGAUUCUGACAACUCAACCUUAUUGGCUAUUUCCACUACACAGCCUGCUUGGCUAGAGGAAAUCAGUCAAUCCUAUAAAGGUGAUCCUAAGGUUACUCAGAUAUUGGCUGAACUAAUAGCAACUUCUCAGGGUAAUUCAGACUACACACUAUACAAAGGGAUAAUCAGGUGCAAACAGAAGAUAUAUGUAGGGAAGGGCAACACAUUGAGAAGGAAUGUGUGGGAAGCAUUGCAUCAAUCACCAUUGGGGGGACACUCAGGACAACAAGGUACUUACAAGAGGUUACAGAUGAACUUUUAUUGGUCAAAUAUGAAGACAGACAGUUGCAAAUGGGUCAGUGAAUGUGGCAUAUGCCAAAGGAUGAAAUCAGAGAAUGUGCAUUAUCUUAGGUUACUACAGCCUCUUCCUAUUCCUGAACAAGCAUGGCAGGAUAUCUCUAUGGAUUUUAUAGAAGGACUCAGAAGAAUGCAGUUUUGGUGGUGAUUGAUAGAUUUACUAAGUAUAGUCAUUUUUUGCCUCUUAAACAUCCUUUUACAGCACAAGAUGUAGCAGAAUUAUUUCUCAAGGAAAUUUAUAGAUUGCAUGGCAUUCCUAAAUCCAUAGUGUCUGACAGGGAUCCAGUUUUCACUAGCGACUUUUGGCAGCACCUUUUCAGAUCUAUGGGUACCAAACUCAAUUUAAGUUUAGCUUAUCACCCUAAGAGUUAUGGCCAAAUGGAGAGACUCAACAGGUGUAUGGAAACUUACCUAAGAGUUAUGGCCUUUGAUAAUCCUAAACAAUGGGUUAAGUGGCUUCACAUGGCAGAGUGGUGGUACAACACUAACUACCACAGUGCUCUAAAGAUCACAACUUUUGAAGCAUUAUAUGGGUAUGCACCUCCCGAACUACCACUGGGCUCACUACCUAGUUCUGGGCAGACUAUGGCAAGUAUGAGUUUAGCACAACGACAGCACAUGGUGCAGACACUUAAGGACAACCUAAUUCGAGCACAGUCACGCAUGAAAUUCUUUGCUGACAGAUCGAGAUCAGAAAGAACUUUGGAGAUUGGGGACCAGGUCUAUCUUAAGCUACAACCGUAUAGACAAUCAUCAAUAGAGGUUCGUAAGAAUGUUAAGUUUGUGUGCUCGUUAUAUUGGUCCUUACAAGAUAUUGAAGAAAAUUGGAACAGUAGCUUACCUAUUGGAGCUUCCUGAAGGCUCUCAACUUCACCCAGUAUUCCACGUUUCUUAGCUCAAGAAGAGAAUAGGUCCAAUGAUUGAACCUCAGCUUCAGCCACCCAUUUGUGAUGCCAACGGUCAAGUACUGAUACAGCCAGUGGGAAUAUUGCAGCGAAAAAUGGUAAAGAUUGAUAAUGGUGUGGAGUUAAAGUGUUAAUUCAGUGGGCAAAUCUUAAGGAAGAGGAUGCUACAUGGGAAGAUUGGGGGUAUAUCAAGCAUCAUUUUCCAGAUUUUGUGGCUCAACAGGCUCAACAUCGACCUUGAGGACAAGGUCAUUCUCGAAGGGAUAGGGAAUGUUAUGAAUUGGGAAGUAGGUGAAAGGGGAAAGUAGGUAAAGGCUGUGUAAUAAAGUGGGUUGGGCCACUAUAGACGGAC